UACGUAGGGUGCGAGCGUUGUCCGGAAUUCUUGGGCGUAAAGAGCUCGUAGGCGGUGUGUCGCGUCGGUCGUGAAAACUUUCAGCUUAACUGGGAGCUUGCGGUCGAUACGGGCAUCACUUGAGUUCGGCAGGGGAGACUGGAAUUCCUGGUGUAGCGGUGAAAUGCGCAGAUAUCAGGAGGAACACCGGUGGCGAAGGCGGGUCUCUGGGCCGAUACUGACGCUGAGGAGCGAAAGCGUGGGGAGCGAACAGG
rnacentral:rRNA from 1 species